UGGGUUCAGAAGCAGGCAUGUUCUCCAGGCUGCUCAGUCUAUUUUGGACGGAGAAUCAUAUACAUGAAGAGAACAGACCAAGACAGAAUGAGGCCAGCUUCUAUUAUGUUGGGGAAGAAGACGAAAGAAAUCGUUCUGGGUAUAGCCCAGUCUGAAAUAUUCCAGCAGAAGCUUGAACAGUGCACAGACAAGGACUACAGCUCGCAGAGACAGAACUGUCCACCAGGAUCACUGAGUGUGCAAAAAUGACAACGACUCCCCAAUCUCAGUCCUAAUGGCAAUCUUGGGCUGCAUUUUGUUCUUUCCUUUGCCUUCCUAUGUGUGAGGCAUCCUUCAUGUCGUCUAGCAUCUGACCCAGGAAAAGUCUCUUUGGAGGGCUUCAGCGGAGUGCUGAGGGACAUCAAGAACUGCUGGGCAUCCAGGAGGAGUCUUAAGAGUGACAAUUUUUGCUAGUCCUGAUGGGUCAUCAAGUAUAAUUUCAUGGAGUUCAAUCAUGCCAAUUUGAAAGACUUUGAGAUAUCGCCCGGAACAUGUCUCAGGCUUAACCUUGGGAGGACUUGUCCAUCUACAAUAAACCACCCCCAAUGAGGCAUGUCUAUACUCAUCUUGAAGAAAUUGAUACCAUCUUGCCUGCCCUUGUGCUGUGUUUACAAGGCCAGCAGCAGGCUGUAGGUGUUUGUUGCGAAUCUGCAGCAAUUGAAUGCUACUUAACUCACCUGUUUUAUUUGGUUUUUGGUUUGAAGUUUGAUUGCUUUACGUGUUUCGUUUUCUUUGUCUUCAUUUGAAAUUUUGUUAUUUAUUUGUUAUCUUUUUGUUUUUGCAAUUAAUUUGCUAUAUUCCUAGGGCUAUAUACAUUGAACUCAUUGACUCUACACUUUAAAAUGUUGUUGAAUAUAUUAAUGUGUGCUUAUAGUAAAGAUGUGACCCUUCACUCACAAGAGCCUCUUGUAUUCAUACGUGGUUCCCUGUCCUGUAAUAGAACAAGUCUCAGACAACAGUGGUUUUCUGCAAGUCUCAUGCAGCUUAGCCUUCACGAUCAGUUCACAGCCAGCCAGAGCUGCACAGGAAACUGUGCCCUCAAUGUGAUUAUUAUGUCAUACUCUGUGGAUCCCGACUUCAUAAUGAAAAAGUAUCCUUGCUGUAUCCUUGUGCUCAUAAUUUUAGCUACCUUUAUAAUGAACUACUCUGUGGCUAAUCAUGUUGGACAAAGGAGAAACACAGAAGUAUUUCUAUAAUACAUUACAGGAAAUAAAAGCACGCAGUAAGGGUAUAUAAAAGAUAUCAGGACACAGAGAGCUGUAUGCCUCCGUUUUUCUUGAAAUAUAGCGUCAGCGAUAAAUGCAGAGAUAAUAAAUUCCAUGAAUUUUGGAGGGACAGAUAUUUUUAGUAUUAUUGUUGGUGGUUUGUUUGUUCUUCUCAAUAAUGACAAUUUUUGCUGAGUCCUUUUCUAUAUAUUUGGUACCUUCUUUUGGGGGAGGGUGUUUGAUUUUUGAAUUAUAUCUUUUUUAAUUUUAUAAGUGGG
ensembl:lncRNA